rnacentral:rRNA from 1 species
CUACGGGUGGCUGCAGUGGGGAAUAUUGCACAAUGGGCGCAAGCCUGAUGCAGCAACGCCGCGUGAGGGACGACGGCCUUCGGGUUGUAAACCUCUUUUAGCAGGGAAGAAGCGAAAGUGACGGUACCUGCAGAAAAAGCACCGGCUAACUACGUGCCAGCAGCCGCGGUAAUACGUAGGGUGCAAGCGUUGUCCGGAAUUAUUGGGCGUAAAGAGCUCGUAGGCGGUUUGUCGCGUCUGCUGUGAAGAUCCGAGGCUCAACCUCGGACCUGCAGUGGGUACGGGCAAACUAGAGUGCGGUAGGGGAGAUUGGAAUUCCAGGUGUAGCGGUGGAAUGCGCAGAUAUCAGGAGGAACACCAAUGGCGAAGGCAGAUCUCUGGGCCGUAACUGACGCUGAGGAGCGAAAGCGUGGGGAGCGAACAGGAUUAGAUACCCCUGUAGUC